CCUACGGGAGGCAGCAGUGGGGAAUAUUGGGCAAUGGGCGCAAGCCUGACCCAGCAACGCCGCGUGAAGGAAGAAGGCUUUCGGGUUGUAAACUUCUUUUCUCAGGGACGAAGCAUGUGACGGUACCUGAGGAAUAAGCCACGGCUAACUACGUGCCAGCAGCCGCGGUAAUACGUAGGUGGCAAGCGUUAUCCGGAUUUACUGGGUGUAAAGGGCGUGUAGGCGGGAAAGCAAGUCAGAUGUGAAAACCACGGGCUCAACCUGUGGCCUGCAUUUGAAACUGUUUUUCUUGAGUACUGGAGAGGCAGACGGAAUUCCGAGUGUAGCGGUGAAAUGCGUAGAUAUUAGGAGGAACACCAGUGGCGAAGGCGGUCUGUUAGACAGCAACUGGCGCUGGGGCGCGAAAGCGUGGGGAGCAAACAGGAUGAGAUACCCUGGGUC
rnacentral:rRNA from 1 species